GGAAAAUAUUAGGAAGAUGCCAAAAUCCUGCCUAAGAGUGCUGCAGCUGGUGGAUCAUUUAUGCUAGUUCUUCCCGAGAGCCAUGUGGUGGAUAGUCCUGGACACCUGGCAUCUCUUAUGCCUCAGUUCUUCAACCACAUCCAGAGGAGUCCAAAUGAAUGAAAGUAUCUGAGAGCAGCUGCUCAGAAGAGGAAGGGCAUCAUGCUGAUCCCGACUGUGUCAAUUUGGGCAUCCUUUUCUGCCACUUCAACUUUCAAAAUCAAAUUGUUAUAAUCAAGAUGCAGAACAAGGAUCCAACGAGGGGCCAGCCAAGCUUAAUCUGCAGUUUUUCUUCCUUCUGUAUUUUUACAAAAAAUAAAUAAAAAGGAAGAAAAAUAAAUGAUUUUUUUUUCUAUUCCUUUUUCUCUUUCUUUCUAGCUUAAACAGCAAAACAGAAGACACAAGUUGACAUGUUUAAGUUGAUCAUGAUGAAUCUGAGGAUAAGUUGCUAUGCUCUGUUCUCUGAUAAAC
rnacentral:lncRNA from 1 species